AAAUGGCUGUCUGUGGAGCCCGGGGAGGGGAGGGCUGGAGUAAGCAGUUUUGAAAUCCAGGCCAGUGGUUGCUGCAAGUGAUAAGAUAAUUUGAGUAACCUGUAAGACCUGUGGAUUCACGGGUUUCAAAAACAGGAAAGUCUCUUGUUCAGAAACCCUCUCAAGCAACACGUGGGCUCAGAAAAGAAGCUCGCUUGUGGUUUGGUGAUUGUACUUCCUUAUUGAUAUAAUGGCCGGUGACGCAAGGCCUCCUGGGAUUGCAGUGCCCUGACCACAGGCCACAGCUACCCUGUUACCCCGACAGGUUCUGAAACAGGCCCCGGGGCUUUCUGGACGGAUGAGAAGUCUAAAAAUUUCCCUUUUCAUUUCCUCUCUUGUGUGACUUUGUCAUUUAAAAAACACACACACACACAAAACUGCUAAUUGAAAAGGGAAUUUUGCCCAUGCUCUUAAGGAACUUAUCUUAACUGGAUAGCUUCCCUCCCACUCCCCAAAAAUCCCACCCUGAAAACCCCAAGCUAAAAAAAAAAAUCGUCUAGACUUGCAGAUUUUUCGGUGGGUCUAUGUUUGAUCAGUGUUUGAUCCAUCUGCUCAUUCCCACCAGAUCCAUAAUAAGCAGAUCUUUAAAAGCUGCAUGAUUUGGAAAACCCAUUCUGGAACCUCUCCAUCUCCUGGGCCUUUGGGGGAAUUGAAAGGCCAGGUAGAUUGGACUUGGGUCUGGAAACAUAACCCUCUCCCUCACAGCCACCGGGAGGCUCAGUUGGACAAGUGUUCCCAGGACCCAGGCGCAUGUUCUGAAAUAAAUGAAAACAGAUGCCAUUCUGGUGUGACACAUCUAACUGACCACCGCACAGAAAGUUCUGUAGACUGGGUGUGGGGGCUGUUUUGGCCUUGAAAACAAUCUACAUGAGGACUAGACUUCACAGUGGGGCUUCUGCUGUCCUGGCUACCUUGCAGAGGCUUUGAGUGUGAUGGCCUGGAGGCUCGAACCUGCCUUUAGGGGGCUGCUUCUUGGGCUCUGCGCAGAGAGAGAGGGCAGACCAAGGGAAUCCACCUCCGCACCUGGAUUCCUCCCAGGGUCCCUGUGGGUUCUGGUCAUGCAUGUUUGUAGGUAUAUAUGUCUGCAAGCAUGCAUGCAUAUUGGUGUGUCAUCCAUGUUUGGGGGCUCAGCCUCAAAUUCCUUUUUAUUUUUCGAUGAAUUCAAAGGAGAUAACAUUUGGAAGAAGUGUCUGUUUCAGUGCUGCAGCAAAUUAUGGGUCCCCUUCCCACCAAAUGAACCCAUCUUGCUGAUUCUUCUGUCUUGGCCCUGAUGAUCUGCCUGGGAUCAUGGCACAUCAAUCAGACUUUCUGCUUUCUGUCUCUCUCUCUCUGGUAAGCCCAAUAAAUCUGCCCCAGUCAUGUCACUCAGGCCACAGGGAAAUGUGAUCCUGCUAGGAACUGCCAAAGUCUAAAGGUUACAGUGAGAGCAAGAACUACUUUCUGGGUCAUUGUGUGUGUGUGUGUGUGUGCUGUGUGUGUCCAUGAACCUGGGCAGAUGUGUGAGUGUGCCUGUGCCUCGUCUCUGUGUGUAUGAGCACACACACACCUGUCUACCGUGUGUGUGACCUACGGAAUGACACAGACCCCUGGGGACAGUGGUGGCAAGGAUGCUGUUGUAUGUGCACCUGCUUGGAAGCAGGUCCAUCACUUCAGUACAGAAAUGCUUUUCUUCUGGUUUGCUGCUCUUUCCCCUGUCAGCAACAUGCACCAAAAUGUUGAAAACCUGAAAGACAAGUAAAAGAUCUGUAAUAUUUCUCCUUCCUGCCUGCCUCUCCACCAUCUUCAUAUACACAGCUGCCUUCAACCUGUGUCCACGUAGGUCAAUUCCCAGUUCAUGAUGUCCUUUUAGCGAAUGGAAUGGUCCAGGUACUUGUGACAAAAUAUUGCACGAUGAAGUCUUUCCAUUGGAAUAAUUGACUGUAUUUCAUUUUGGUCCUUAAAAUAUAUAAACUUUGCCCAUCAAAUUUUGAGUUGGAGAAAAUUCGUUGAGGAGGCUAUUGUCAUCUGAAGACUCAUUGUCUGGAGUUUCCCUCAUACUAUCAAAUUCGUCAUUGUCCUUGGAGCCCAAGUCUGGCCGCCUCUGCCUUCAUCUUCUGAUACAUUGAAGGAUUGUGAAACAUCUUCCUUUAUUUUUUCCUCUUUGCCGUGAUAAAUGGAAAGCAAAGGAAUUCACUGUCUUCUACUAUGUUUGAUGCAAGCUACAAAGAUGGUGUGUCCAGUCUUCUCUUAUUCCUUCUUAAAGAUGAUGCCAUACUUUUGGCAAUGCAAUGGGAAA